rnacentral:rRNA from 1 species
GACGAACGCUGGCGGCGUGCUUAACACAUGCAAGUCGAACGGAAAGGCCCUGCUUUUGUGGGGUGCUCGAGUGGCGAACGGGUGAGUAACACGUGAGUAACCUGCCCUUGACUUUGGGAUAACUUCAGGAAACUGGGGCUAAUACCGGAUAGGAGCUCCUGCUGCAUGGUGGGGGUUGGAAAGUUUCGGCGGUUGGGGAUGGACUCGCGGCUUAUCAGCUUGUUGGUGGGGUAGUGGCUUACCAAGGCUUUGACGGGUAGCCGGCCUGAGAGGGUGACCGGCAACAUGGGAACUGAGAUCCGGCCCAGACUCCUACGGAGGCAGCAGUGGGGAAUAUUGCACAAUGGGCGGAAGCCUGAUGCAGCAACGCCGCGUGCGGGAUGACGGCCUUCGGGUUGUAAACCGCUUUCGCCUGUGACGAAGCGUGAGUGACGGUAAUGGGUAAAGAAGCACCGGCUAACUACGUG